CUGUAAUGAACCAUACGACGGCGACGUUCCUGGCUGCAGAUGUGAUGCCAAUUGCCAAGCAAGCAACAGCUGCUGUUUUGACUACCAUGACAUCUGCACAUUACCGACCGAGCAGUGGGAGUGCACAAAGUUGCGCUGUGGAGAGCAGAGGCUGACGGAGAGCAAGUGUCAGUGCUCCGAUGACUGUGUGUCUGCAGGAGACUGCUGCACCAACUACCAACAUGUGUGCCACGGAGAGAAACAAUGGGUGGAGGACGCGUGUGAGAACCUGGCAGAGCCGAAAUGUCCAGCAAACUUUAAGCAGCAGCCUCUCCUCCUCGUCUCUUUGGACGGACUGAGAGCUGAAUACCUGCAGACGUGGAACACACUCAUCCCUGUUCUGGACAAACUCA